UACAGAGGUCCCAAGCGUUGUUCGGAUUUACUGGGCGUAAAGGGUGCGUAGGUGGUCGGGUAAGUCUCAUGUGAAAUCCCGCAGCUUAACUGCGGAACGGCAUGGGAUACUAUUCGGCUCGAGGAUUGGAGGGGGGACUGGAAUUCCCGGUGUAGCAGUGAAAUGCGUAGAUAUCGGGAGGAACACCAGUGGCGAAGGCGAGUCCCUGGACAAUUCCUGACGCUGAGGCGCGAAAGCGUGGGGAGCAAACGGG
rnacentral:rRNA from 1 species